rnacentral:lncRNA from 1 species
ACAAUAAAAAAUAAACAAUAAAAUGGCCCAUUUAUCUUCUAGAAAUGGGAUGAAAAAGAGAAAAAGCAGAGCAAAACACAAAUGAUUGUCUCAAAAUAACGUAGCCACAUACUUGUCUGGUUAGAAGACUGUCCUCUUCACUAAAUGGUCCCCCUCUUCCUUGUGAGAAACUCAGGUGUUCCUGGUAACCAGAUAGUGUAUAAAGUCCCUUAUUGUGAUAGUGACAAUCCUGUGACCCAGAAGCAAAGGAGAGAAUUGUCUUUGUGUUCAUUUGGGGAGACAAUAUCAAGGUUUUAAAUCUUGGAGAAAUGGCUUUCGUUUACUUGGCUGUCAGAUGCUUAUAUACCUUUCUCAUAAGCACAACAUUUGGCUAUACUUCAUCUUCAGACACCGAGAUAAAAGGUAAAUGGAUUUUAAUGGAAUAGUUUUUAAAUUAGGAAAAGUAAAAUUAAAUGGAUUUUAAUGGAAAA